rnacentral:rRNA from 1 species
UACGGGAGGCAGCAGUGGGGAAUAUUGGACAAUGGGGGAAAGCCUGAUCAAGCCAUGCGGGGUGAGUGAUGAAGGCCUUAGGGUUGUAAAGCUCUUUCAUCAGGGACGAUAAUGACGGUACCUGNAGAAGAAGCCCCGGCUAAUUUC